rnacentral:misc_RNA from 1 species
UUUCUUCACAGGAAGUUGGAAGGACACAUUUUGAUUCUCUCUCUCUCCGUUUAUCAAUUGGGAGAGAUUGAGUUUUCAUGAUUAAGCCCAUGGCGAUUUCUUCACGNNNNNNNNNNNNNGCGUCCUCUUCUUCUUCUCUUUCUUCUUUCUCAUCGGUCUUUCAUUCGCCGAUGACGUCUCCUACGAUGACGAUUCCCCCAAGUCUCCCGGCUGCGAUCGGGCUUACAAAUUGGUCAAGGUUAUGAACUGGGUUAAUGGUGUUGAAGGUGAAACUUUAAGUGGGAUAACUGCAAGAU